rnacentral:lncRNA from 10 species
GCCUCAACACUUGUUUUUAAAAAAUUAAGCUGUUUCUUGGGAGUUCAGACAGUCGUAAGUUUGUGCUUAGUCUUAAUUUGCACAUUUGCACAUGCAAUUAGCAGUUCAGGUGCUGCAGGUGAGCAUAGGCACCUGGGUCAGAUAUAAAACAACCAUCUGCUUUUUUGAUCCAGUAUGAAUAUGCUUACAGGCUACAUCAUAGGGGGCAAAGUCAUUGCUUUCUUUUCCCAAAAUUGAAAAACGAUAAAGAACUGAAUUGCUAAAUGAAGAGAGUUAUUUGUCAAGGUGCUCAAUGGGAACCUGGGGCAUGGGGAAUCUGCAGGUCAUGAAGACACCUGGGGAAUGAAAAUCCAGGAAGAACAUCAGCACCUGCAAGCAGACAAGGUGCACCGAGCACCCCAGAGCUGGUGGGUGAGAAUGAGAAGAAAGCAAAUACUACACUGUUGAAAGUUGUAUUAGUCCAUUUUCAUACUGCUAUGAAGAAAUACCUGGGACUGGGUAAUUUAUAAAGAAAAAGAAGUUUAAUGAACUCACAGUUCCACAUGGCUGGGGAGGCCUCACAAUCAUGGCAGAAGAUGAAGGAAGAGCAAAGGCAUGUUUUCUAUGGCAGCAGGCAGUAGAGCAUGUGCAGGAGAACUGCCCUUUAUAAAAUCAUCAGAUCUCUUGAGACUUAUUGACGAUCAUGAGAAUAGCAUGGGAAAAACCUGCUCCCAUAAUUCAAUUACCUCCCAUCAGUUCUCUCCCAUGACACAUGAAAUUAUGAGAGCUACAAAUCAAGAUGAGAUUUGGGUGGGGACACAGCCAAACCAUAUCAAAAUCUAACACUGUAACACUGGUUUUCUAUUGCACCUAAAAUUCAAAACCCAAGUUGGAGAUGCCAACAGGAUUGAUCAGCAUACUAAUUCCUUGUUUAUAAUCCUUCGAGGGCUCCAUGUAUCCUGCAGCAGCUUUCCAGCAAGGGCCUGGAAGUAUUGGUCCAUCCAUGCAGUGCCUCUGGCCUCCAUGGGCAUAGAAGGUCUGGGGAGUACCUUGAGCUGCAUGGAAAGUAUCCUCACUUCCAAUCUUCUACUGUAUAGUUUCAAGAAGGAUCCU